rnacentral:rRNA from 1 species
AACGGCCACCAAGGCGACGAUCAGUAGCCGGACUGAGAGGUUGGCCGGCCACAUUGGGACUGAGACACGGCCCAGACUCCUACGGGAGGCAGCAGUGGGGGAUAUUGCACAAUGGAGGAAACUCUGAUGCAGCGACGCCGCGUGAGGGAAGACGGUUUUCGGAUUGUAAACCUCUGUCUUCAGGGAAGAAACAAAUGACGGUACCUGAAGAGGAAGCCACGGCUAACUAC